UCCCUGUUGUCUCAGUGGUAAAGAACCUCACUGCCAAUGCAGGAGAUGUGGGUUUGAUACCUGCAUUGGGAA
rnacentral:tRNA from 1 species